rnacentral:snRNA from 1 species
AUGUUCACUUCAGCAGCACAUGUACUAAAAUUGGAACGAUACCAAGGAUAUUAGCAUGGUCCCUAUGCAAGGAUCACACACAAAUUGAUGAGGCAUUCCAUAUAUUG